CUCCCCCCGUCCGGGGAGAGGGGUCCGAGCUCGGCCCCUUAGCCCGGACCCCGCGCUUACACCCCGGAAGGGUUAAUGGCGAGGAGUCGGGGUGGAGGAGGGAUGCUGACGGCUAGAGAUGAGGAAGUGAGAGUGUUUCAUUCCGAAGAAAUGCUGGUUCAAGUGGAGUGUAAAGGGAACCCGAAAUGGCUCCGAAUACCAGUGAAAAAUGACUGUUUUGACUUCUGUGAAUUCAUUAAAGAAGCUUCAGCAAAGUUCAACUUGCCGCAUGGAGCCAAUGUGGUUCUUAAAGACUCUGCAGGAGUUGAUGUUGAUGCUGAUAUUUUUGAUGAGCUUGUGAGAACAUCUAAGGUGUCCUUCAAAAUUUUGGAUUGUGAUACAGCAGAUAAUGUUCCACAAGCUGAGACCGAUUUCUCUGAGCCGUCAUGCCCCGAGUCGUCAUUUUCAUCAGUAGAAUCGGAAAGUUAAGAUUCCACAGUGAUUCCGCGAUCUUCAAAGGCACGCAAAAAGCGAUUCUUAGAAGAACCUUCUGACUGCAAUGUAUCAAAAGAUCUAGUUCAUGCAGCGCUGCACUCAAAACCAGGAGGCUGAUAUAUUGAAGGAGUACGAACAAACAGAGUCUGUCUGACAAGACACGAAGGAAGCUGGUAAACAUCCUUGUGGCUGAUAUGGGAGAGAAGUAUGGGAGGAUUCCACCAGUCAGUAUCCGUGUAAGCUAUGCUCUUGGAAUCAUUACUCUGUUCCUCAAUUUGAAGGAUAAGUCUCACCGACUGGUUAUGAACAGUUCUACGAUCCACGCAGUGGCCAGGGUUACAUUGCCUACAGACUGAAAACUGUUCAGCGCAACUCUGUAAAUAACUUGAGGGGGGCAUCAAAGGUGGUUUACCAAGAUGGUCCUAAGACUUUGCGUGAGACCUCUUCAACAACUGAGCAGCUGUCAGGUGAUGAAUGCACAGAAGCUGUAUCCAUGAUGAAGCAUUCAACGGACGCACCAGUUAUUAAGGAUAAAAUGAAGACAACAUUCAAGUACAGGCAGAAUUUGAUACAUGAUCCAGACAAAUCUUCACUCAUCCUUGAUUACUUUCCCCGAUUUUUGGAUACACCAGGCUUGAUUGACCAAGACUUUACUAUGCUUUUUGGAGAGGACAUUU